UACAGGGGGGGCAAGCGUUGUUCGGAAUUACUGGGCGUAAAGGGCUCGUAGGUGGCCAACUAAGUCAGACGUGAAAUCCCUCAGCUUAACUGGGGAACUGCGUCUGAUACUGGAUGGCUUGAGUUUGGGAGAGGGAUGCGGAAUUCCAGGUGUAGCGGUGAAAUGCGUAGAUAUCUGGAGGAACACCGGUGGCGAAGGCGGCAUCCUGGACCGGUAUUGACGCUGAGGCGCGAAAGCUAGGGGAGCAAACGGG
rnacentral:rRNA from 1 species